rnacentral:rRNA from 1 species
UUGACCUACGGGAGGCAGCAGUGGGGAAUAUUGCACAAUGGGGGAAACCCUGAUGCAGCGACGCCGCGUGAAGGAAGAAGUAUUUCGGUAUGUAAACUUCUAUCAGCAGGGAAGAAAAUGACGGUACCUGACUAAGAAGCCCCGGCUAACUACGUGCCAGCAGCCGCGGUAAUACGUAGGGGGCAAGCGUUAUCCGGAUUUACUGGGUGUAAAGGGAGCGUAGGCGGUGAUGCAAGUCAGAAGUGAAAGCCCGCAGCUCAACUGCGGGACUGCUUUUGAAACUGUAUGACUAGAUUGCAGGAGAG